GCCCUCGUUGAUCAAUGGAGAUCACCCGCGACAGAUAUAUCUCGAUUUCUGAUAUCAGCGGGCAGAGGGGGUUCGAAUCCCCCCGAGGGCA